CCAGUCGUAGCACAGGGGCACAGUGUGAUUGUAAAACCAACUGGUUGUGGGUUCGAUCCCCACUCGAGGAGA
rnacentral:tRNA from 1 species